AUUUGGUCAAAUCUCAGCCAAUGAGGAGCUAACCUCUAAACUUGACUAUCUGAGGAUACAUCAUCAUCCCUUAGCCGAUCCGACGACCGUUCACCAACGUUUUUAUUUCUGCUACUUUCAAAGAAAUGAUCGAAUGGAGAUUUAACAGACUUCAACGAUCUCUUUGAUGGAGUGGCAUUCACCUCAUCACUGCCUCCCACCCCAUGCUUUGACGAUGGAACCGAACCGCUUCUUGAAAAAAGAGGAGCCACAGUCAAUCCCCCCCGGUCCCCGUCCGGCCGCCCUUCCCUAUCGAACCUCUCGUGGUAG
rnacentral:misc_RNA from 1 species